UACGGAGGGGACUAGCGUUGUUCGGAAUUACUGGGCGUAAAGCGCACGUAGGCGGAUUUGUAAGUCAGGGGUGAAAUCCCGAGGCUCAACCUCGGAGCUGCCUUUGAUACUGCGAAUCUCGAGUCCGGAAGAGGUGAGUGGAAUUCCUAGUGUAGAGGUGAAAUUCGUAGAUAUUAGGAAGAACACCAGUGGCGAAGGCGGCUCACUGGUCCGGUACUGACGCUGAGGUGCGAAAGCGUGGGGAGCAAACAGG
rnacentral:rRNA from 1 species